AUACCAUUUAUCAAUUCUUAAGUGUUCCAUAAAAAAAGAAAGAAAAAAAACAUUGAGCGAAUAAUAUAAGAUACAUCAUGCAGUUAUUUCAAGACUAUUGUAUUAAUUCAUUCGUGUGCAUUUACCUAGUUGUAUUGCACAGGGCACGAGCUAAAGCUCAUAUUUCGUCCUGUCUUGUGUGUGUGUGUGUGUGUGUGUGUUGGAAUCUUCGUAUUCGGAAUCUGGUUGCACCACACUGUCGAGAGAGAGAGAGAGAGAGAGAGAGAGAGAGAGAGAGAGAAUCCGUCAGUUUUAAAGUAUGGAGUGACUUUACUUCAAAAGCUGUAUAGAAAAAAAAAUACAGUAGCACACGAUGGAAGAAACAAAUGAAGUACUGUGAAAAAUGAAAAGAGGAAUAAAAUAUGUAUACCAAUGAAUAGAGUCAGACGAAUAUGUGAAGGAGGGGGGGGGAGGGAAGGGGGAGGAAGCGUCAGUUAACCAUAUGUGCGAAGUAAAAGUACCUCACGUGAUCAAGGUUUUUGUGGUUGUCAUUCAGAUCUGAUGGCUAUUAAUUUAUUCGUUUUCAUACAUUUCAUAUCACCAUUUUUUCUUUUCACUAUUUCAUUUCUAGAGGCAAACAAGAACACAAUCGUCGAAUAAUUAGAAAUAUAUAUUUUUAAUGCCUUCAUUACGACAAAACAUCGUGGUAAUACAGUUUUGUUAUGUCGGCAAUAGAAAAAAAAUAAUUGCUUGGUACUGAGAGGAAAGAUUAACAAAUAUAAGCCACGUGAUCAAGGCAUCCCGGGCACUACUUAAUGUAUCAAUGCGCGAGCCGAUCAGAAGAAAGAAGCUAGAAAGCGUGUCGGUGGAUCGGAGCUUCGGAUAAGGGUUCAUGGUCGGCGAGUUAUGAGCUUCUUGAUUCAGUUUUUUAGUUACACGGACACCAGGCAGCCAGGAGGGUUGGGUGUCGUGUGCCUCACGUUCAAGUCUUUUUUUGAUUAAUCGUCAAAUAUCUCUUGCGUCCCUUCCUCACCAUUCCUGCCUCUGCGAACGCAAUGGUGGCAUGAUGGUGAACUGGAGGAGAGGAGGCCACGGAGGGAGCGAUGAUGGAAGAAAACGUAAGUCAUGGCUGCUGCCUCUUUGGCCGCCACCACAAUCACCACCACUGCGGCUACCACUGCUACUGCUCCUGCUACUGCUGUUACUUCUACUUGUCAGUACUCACGUGACUUUGAGCGGGGUUCCCUAGGGCCGUCCACCGUCACCUUGAUCGCCUUGUUGUGAGGUCGCUACUUGAGGGGGGGAGGUGCUGAUGGUGAUGGUCAGGAGGAAGCUUUUACCUGGCGACAACAAGACGAAGAAUGAUGAGCAGAAAUAAACAGAUAAAAUAA